rnacentral:rRNA from 1 species
UACGUAGGGGGCAAGCGUUGUCCGGAUUUAUUGGGCGUAAAGAGCGUGUAGGCGGUCAGGUAGGUCCGUUGUGAAAACUCGAGGCUCAACCUCGAGACGCCGAUGGAAACCAUCUGACUAGAGUCCGGAAGAGGAGAGUGGAAUUCCUGGUGUAGCGGUGAAAUGCGCAGAUAUCAGGAAGAACACCCGUGGCUAAGGCGGCUCACUGGCUCAUUACUGACGCUCAGGCGCGAUAGCGUGGGGAUCAAACAGG